UUCCUCAGUCAGCGUUCCUGCUGCACCACUCAGCAUUGCAAGCUUGCAGCUCUACAGGAAUUUGGCUGUCUCAGAUCCAGCAAGCACAGCUGUCCUUUGGCAGUGUUGGUGUUGCCAGCUCUCAGGCUGCAAAGAGGAAGAGCUCGACGGAUUGAGCUGCACCUUGUCCUCACUCUGAGACUGUUUGCAGAUGUGUAGAACUGUAUUCCUGAGACCACUGAGACCUCAGUCAUGGGUCUUCAGCUGUGGCUCUGAAAGCUGAGGUCUUCUGGUCACUGUGGGACUCCACACAUCAUCCUCACACAUCAUCCUCUGCUCUAAAUGUGUUCCAGAGCAGUCAGACCCCGUUGAUACCAGACCUGUGUAGGACAUGUUCAUACAGCUGUGCAGUGCCGUAAGGAUUUCAGGUCACCAGGUAAAGGUCCAGUCCUGCUCAGUGGCUGCAUACCACAUUUUUGGGGUUAAAAUAAAUGGGAUCUGACUUUUUUGAAGGAUGAUUCUAUCAUGCUUUUCUAUUAUUAAUCACAUCUAUGUAUACAUGUGGUUUUAUUUGAGAAUUGGAAUGCUGCCUUUCUGCUUUCAACAUCCAGGCACCGGUAGCACCCUGUGACUCACUCCCUGUGUUUGGGAGGGAGGUGUGACCUGGUUGGGUGAACCAUUUCCUAUAAGGUGUGAGACGUGGCUUCAGGACCUCAUGGUGCAUUCGUGUAUUCCGUCCCGGGGAGUCGAUAAGAGCUGCAGACAUACAGCAGGCUUGGAAGAAAGCGGUAGGAAAGGCACAAAGACCUCGCAAAUACAUAUGAAAGGAUCAAGGGUCUGCGUGUGUUAAAUCCCAACAGGAACAGAUUUGGGGUGAGAUGUCCGGCUUCAGAGGGAACUCAUACACUGCAAAGGGGCAAAAGCAGAGUAUGUCUGACUGCUGGCAGCUGGCUCCCUACCUUACGAGUGAGGAAGGUAGAGGAUUUGGGAGAGGGAAGGAGAUAAAAGCAAACGGCAGAGAUAGUGUCAGGAAUGUGAAAAGGAGAAGGCAGAAGGGAGCAUGCCACCUGGAGGCACGCAGCCUGGUUGGAAGGCACCUGGGUAUUUAGGGGUGAAUUAAAACUCUGUGAAACCUGAGCCUGUCCUUGAGUUUGGAGAUGUCCUGAGAACGGCCAGAUGCACACACCUGGCAAUCAGUCACGGUGCUUCAGAAGUGAGAGAGCAGACUCAAAGAUAUUUUAGCAGCAAACCUUAGGCUGAAGCAAGUCCUGUUGACGCUUGUUUUCUCUGUGCCCUCUCUAGUUUUAUAGUGUGAUGCUGUGGGAGAACUUAUAGCGUGUAUUUAACUGACUUCUUCCUGUUGCCUGCUCAUUCACAUCCUCUGAAUGAGGUCUGUAGAACAGUCAUGUUCUGUUCUUACAGGUAUUUUCCUUUAAAGAAGGAAUUUUUUUUAAUAUUUGUUGAUGUGUGCAUUUGUACAUAUAAAAUUAUUAUCUUGCCUGAACUUCCAGUGACCUUUAGUUAAUUCACAGCACAAACAAAGGAGAAUCUCUGUCUCUGCAGAUGAAUAACAAGAAGAAAGGAAGAUGAGAAGGGGAGUGUUAAGUUAAAAAAACAGAGCCCUGUUUUUCUCCUUGUGCUGCAACUCAGCUCUUUACCUGGAGCCACUCUGCAGGGUGCAGUCAGAAUGUGCAAACCCAGCAAGGCUGGCAGGAAAUGGCAGGGUGAUAUGUAGCACAGGGGCUACAUCUUCUUUAACAGCAUUGAAUAAUUAACAGGCUCUGAAGAGUCCCCUAUCUACUGCUUUUAGACUUCCUGGUCUUAGCAAGCAGUGUUAAGGCAUUGUUUUCUACCACUGUUUGGCAGGCUCCUAAGCCCUCCUCAUUCCACAUGUGAUGAAGUCUUUCUUCUAUCUAUCCCAGCUUGACAAAUGGCAAUCACGAGAUUUUCUGGUUUUGUCUUGCAGUGUUUGGUAUCUUAGUGCCUUCAGCUUCUGAAAUCAAUAGAUUCUAUGAGAAUCUCGAUUUUUAUCUUGUUGUUGUUGUUGUUUUAAAGCUAAUGUCUUGUGGUUAUGAAGAGAAGAACCCAAAUACGAAGCAAACUCUCUUCUGAUCGUUCACAUCAGAAAGCAAUGGGAAGCACCAGCACUCUCCUGGUAAGGCUGGAUGCCCAUUACAAGGUUGACACAGAGCCAACGUCUUUCCCUUGGCUGCUCUGUUCUGUUACACCACACAAAUCUUUCUUUUCUGAGUGGUAUUAACUGCAAAUUUCUUCAGCCCUGUUCUUCCCUUCUGCUGCUGGAGUGUGUGUACUUGCUGCAUGCCAAGGUUGAUGCUCAGGUUUUGUUCUUAUCAUUUAGUCUACAUGUUUCUGUUCUUCUUUUCUGGUUGGUUUUAGAGACAAGUAACUGUUGGUCUCUUUUUUUGGCACUUGCAAAAAAGUAGUUUUGCUUUUCUUUGGCAUUUUUUCCUUUCUGGGGUGUUUUAUUUCAGGCCCCUGUACAGCUGGGAAGUUUUUCGGUUUUAAGAUGUAGGUGGAGUGAGGGAAGUUCCACCCGAGCUGAGGAUUUGUGGCUGAUGAUUAAUUAAAUCAGCAAUUUCUGAUGUUCAGAGCUGGGGUGUGCAGCAGUUACUAUGUCAUUUGAUGAGGUAAUUCUCUUCCAUGCAUUAAUUGACUCAUAUUACCUUGCUAUUUAAAAUUGCACUGAAGAAAAGCAAAAGAAAGAUAAUUCUAUGUAACAAAUUCAGUAGGCAUUAUUUCUGUGGGUUAUCCUGAUUUUUAUAAGCAUGAUUAUAGGCAUGAUUUUCUGGCAUCUGAUGCUGAAGCUCCAUGUGCUUGCAUAGGAAAGUAUCUCUUUUAUCCUCUCCAGCUGCUCUUCUGCCCCAUGUCAGCAGCCCAAUACAACCCUAAGGACUGCCUUGCUCCUCACUGCAAACAGAUUGCCUCCUCCUAGGCCCUAUUCCUGCCCUGGUCCUGCCCAGUGCCCCAGGCAUUUUUGCAAAUUUGACUUUGGCCCUGUUUGUCAAAGGCACGGUGUUGUCACUUCUUUAGUCUGACCCUCUCCUUUGUUGUCAAGAGGUCUUCCUCUUUUUAUUGGUAGCUUUAUCUCUUUCUCGUUAUCUUCUAGUCUUGUAGACUCUUUCCCCUCUCUUUUGCAUUUAACCAAGCUUGUCUUAUCAGUAUUAGGGGAUUUAAGACUUUUCUCUUUGACAGCUUUUCUUCCCCACUGCCUGGAAGUUUCUCUAUGCCAUCGGUCAGCAGGCCAAAGAGCAAAUGCAUUUGUUAUUCAAAAUGAGAUAACUGCAUCCAUGCCCUGUAUCCUUAGGAGAGAGCAUUUGUCUUCUUCUACAGUCAUAUUUUUCACACCUGGGAAGUUGCCCUUACGUCUUUGAGGUAAUAGAAGACAUAAGGGAGUAAUAAGAAUUUUCUGCAGGGCUGACUGAUCAACAAAGGGUGCAGCAGCAUCACUGUCUGUGAUUCUGUUUGGAGUUCCUCCAUGACUAUCACCACCCUUUGGCCUGGCCAUCCAUUCCUGAAAUGUGAACACCAAGUCCUUAUGACAGUGACUGGAAACUGCAAAACUGAACACAGUAUCACAUUAGUCACAGCAUCACCUGGAUAUCUGAAAUGUCAUAUGUGUCUUGGCCAGUGACAGUAUGGCAGUAUUAAUGGUUUUCUGGCACUUUGAAAGUGCUGUCAUCCUUACAAAUCUUGCCAGGAUGGAAAAAGCUGGGAAAUUGAAAGGGGAGAAAAUAAAGAGAGAAGUUUCACUCAGUUGAACUGUCCUUUCUCCUUGUUUUGUAAAGGAAGAGAAUGCCUCCUGUGAAGCACGGUGAAGGCAUGCCUGGAGGGCAGUGCUGCUGGCAUCGUGGGGUCACUGUAGGGCAGCACUCUCAGCUACCCUGCAUAACAUAAAGCCAGGCCAGGAGAGCAGGCAGUGCAUGCCUUGGCAAGGAGGUGGUGUGACACACUGGGCCAGAUCCCCUCCUGUAGCACUAGGUGGGAGCACAGCAUAAGCAGGGCGGCAACGACAUUGGUGUGAGGCUGCAGUGGACUUUUUUGUUGCAGUGUCAUAUGCUUUAGGCAGAAAUUCACUUGACCUUUUUUGGAAGGAAGAAGGCAGUGCUGAUCAUUCUUGGCCAGUGAAUAUGUGCUGAAUAUGUGCUAGUUCACUUGGUGAAGGUGACAAUGAGUUUCCUAGCACAGAGAAGGCUUGUGUGCAUGCAGCUUUCUCUUAAGGCCAGAGUGUGCCGUAACACCCCUCAGACAGUAAACAGUGCUGGACUGUGAAAGAUGCUGUACUCAUAACUUACACAGGAUGUUUUUGGCAUGCCAUAUAACCAGUGCCAAGGAAAGGUUUUCAGACUGUGGUGAUGCUCUGUCUCCUCAGUUUUGCAGCCUUUGUUGAUGAAGGUAACUUCUUGUUGCGAUGGCAAAUCCCUACAGGAUGAAACAGGGCAGUUCAGGGGGAUAUGUUUCCCAUGAGGGAAAUCUCAGAAGAAAACAGGUGGAAACCAAACAUUCUUUGGUCACAGAACCCAAGGAGAGGUGCAGUAUGUGUCAAACCAUGAAAGCUACUUCAGAAACCCAACCCAUUCAUAUGGAGUAUGUACAAUAAGGUAGAAAUCUUUUCCAACCUUACUGAUUAUAAAAUCAUCAAGCCCAAUUGUCAAGUGCCAACUGUCAAGGAAUCACCACAACUGUAUAUUAAACUUCAGACACGUGCACGCAUGGCAUGGAUUUAGGACUUCUGGCGGCCAAACCUCACACAAUGGGCACUGGUGAAUCUGCUGUGCUAAAACUAUUUGGCUGAGUUUCAGCCACCACUGUGACAUUAUUUCCAUUGCCCUUGAGUUCUGUCUGGGUCUCCCCUAAGCCCAGCUUCAUUAUUUUCUUACUAGUGAGUAGCCUGCUGGUGGAAAGCACGCUCCUGAAAGCUCUGAAAGCUCAUGCACUCAGGCUCAUGAGGGAGGUCUGCUGUGGGAUACUUCUCACCGAUGAAUUGUACUGCACAGUUGCUUUUACCCACUUCUAGCAGCAUCACAGUGACACCAAUAUAAAAGCAGCAACUGUAAUUUUAGAGGUUAUGCUCUCUUGCUGUUUUCCAGAGGUGGUUGGCCUUCCUGGGGAAGCCUUUUGUAAUGCAUGCAGGGAAAAGAAGCAGCCAUAUCCCCAUGCUUUUACUGCCUUUCUGGCAUUGCACCGCUUCCUGUGACCCUCUCUCCUCCCAGCGAUGCAUGGCUUUAAGGCUGCAUAGGCUGGGUGAAUUAUAUUUUAGAGUGAGACUCUAUUUAGCUGUGAUGUCAACUGCAGCAAACUAUAAAAAGAUCAGUAAUGCUCUUUGAAAGUGUAACAGCUGCUGCUCUACACCCUCUCUGCUGUAUUAUCACUCUGCCCUAUUUCAUGUGCCACACAGCCAACAUAAACUAUUGUAGCAAUCAUCUCAUUAUAUAGCUCAAGGAAUGCGGGAUAAACUCUCUAGAAGCAAGGAGGAACUUGAGGUGAGCCAAUCUGGGCAAUUUUACACAGUUUGUUAUCAAAAAAGUUAUUUUAUCUGGGCUUGCAAUGUAGCAUGCUUUUUCCUUAGCGCUUGACUGCAUGCCAUUAGCAAUUCCAACACAAUGACAGCAGAUCCGCAAAGCUUUGCUUUGGGCAGCUUUGCUGGAUGUUACUCACAUACAGUUGUAAACUGAGCUCGUCUGGACUGCAUGGAGUGAGUCCAGCAGUAUAUUACCUGGCAUAUGAAGCACAUCUUUGUCCUUAGCUGGGUGUGACCACAUGUUCAAAACCACAUUCAGGGUUCCCCUAGAGUCAGAAAAUAAAUUCUGUUUAUCCAGAGUGAGCAGACAGCAAGUAAUAAAUGUGGAAUUGUGCUAGCAAAAUACACUGUGGCAGUACUGGAAAUGGGGUCUUGUCUGGGUCUCUGAAUAAGGACUCUACCAAGAUAUAUUUUCCUACUCUUGGAGAAUAGGAAAAAAAAGUUGUCUCCUGGAGUAAGCUUCACUCCUGGAGACAACUUGUAAAUGAUGUUCUGAUAAAUGAUGUUCAAGACGUGUGCUGAAGCAAUAUGAGAAGUGGAGCAUUGCCAAGUGGCUUGGUCAGCUGUGGCAGCUGGGUGUGCAUUAGCACAGACAGCAAAGUGUCGCCUUCAGGCUGAUGGAAAGCAAAGUUCCAAACCUCCUCAGCUCCAGGUCCCUUCCUUGGUGGGACAAACCAAUGCAAAAAGGCUGCUCUGUUGUAUGUGGGUCAGUUGUGUUUGUUUUGUAGUGCAGAUAGGGCCUUUGUAGUGGGGAUGGAGAAUGGCCUGUUUGUAAGUGACACGCAAAGUCCUUUGACACAGGUCUGAAGUGGCAGUGAGCUCACUUGUCUGAGAGGAAAUGGUCGGCUUCCAACACGGCUGUUACCAAAGGUGACAAGACAGUUAGGCAAUGUGAGGAGUGAUUUUGCAUCAGACAAAGCCUCUGGGCUGGAAUCGAGCCCACCAUGGCACAGGCCUGCCUGUGUCUGAGUCCUGCCUGAGCUCACUGAGCCCUGGCACCCAGCACUCAUACAGGGACAUUGCAGAGGUACCCAGAAAUGAGAGCAAGUGGCCUGAAGACACACAGAAAGCUUGUGAGCAAGCCAAGGAGCAGCCUCAAUGUCAGCUUCCUGGCUCUGUUGAAAAUCCUUGGGGAGGCUCUCCUGCUUUCACUCACUUCCCACUGUUUGCAGGUGUGAGCAGUGUCUGGCAGCUCUGGUCUCACUUACGUGCAGGCUGGAGAAAAACAGACCCACCCCAGCUGUUUUCCGGCAGCAGUGCCACAUCAUGACCCCGUGGAUUAAUGAGCCCAGCAGAGGUUGCUGGGAGCAGGGUCUUGUCAUUUAGGGUUUGCUUCUACUUCGUGAUCCCAGAGGCACAAGCAGCAGGCAGCGCAGCGAGGCACUGCAAUCACUUGAUUACUUUGCUGUGGAAACUGCUCAACCAAAAUGAUCCCCGUGGAUCUCUGGUUCUUUCUCAGCUCACUGAAAACAGAUGUACUUCUCAUACAAGUGCAGAGAUGGUAGAAGGUUGUAUAUUUUUAAUCAACAGUUCAUGUUACAAGCUCAUGCAAGAAUCAGAACAGAGGUAAGUUCCUAGAGACCUCUAGGUCUGAACUGAAAGCACGAAGCGCAGCAGUGAGCCCAGUGGGGCUCAGCACCCAACCUCACAGUUCAGAAGAUGAGUUCCUUCAAGAAACAGCUGUGAGUGCAAAAUUAGCAGAAUAAGGAGCAGAGAGAAUUUGCUUCUUGUAUGUGAAAAUACCCAUGCAAACAUAUACUGCACGGUUGCUUGAAUAAACUUACACUGAAGGAGGCUGACAUGUCAGCAGAGCUGAAUUUACAUGCUGCAGUGUGUAGCAAUAUGCUGUCAGGUUAAGAAGUGGCACAUCCUUGUGUCCAGUCAUGGAUGCAUAAUGGUCUCACAGGGGGAGCUGAGUUGCUGUGAAAUUUGAGGUUGUGGAUUUUUAAUGGCAUCUGGAAAUCAAGAUACUGGAAAUCCUCAAGCAUUCAGUAACUCCCCAAUCACAGCCUUCAUUUAUCCUGUAACACUCCACAGGUUAAGGCUUUCAUAUAUCCAUUGAUAGCUGACAAUUCGUUUUGUUAGAAACUGAGCAGUCUCCAGUCGGAAUAGGGAUGCCUGAGACCUUCUGUAAAGCUCUUGUCUACCUUUUUCUGAGGCUGUGCAAUAGGUAAGUGGCUCCCGCAUCUCCAGAAUUGAAAUCAGUAAGUCGCUGGCAGUGAGCUCAUCUGUUGAAAGGAAAAAUGCUGUGCAGUCCCACACUGGUGACAGGAUGAAGCUGCCUGUCUCAUGCAGUAGCCACAGGCUCCUGCUAUCCUGGUCCUAUGGCUAUGGUUUUCCACAGUGACUAGUUCAUGUAAUCCUUUCACUACUUCUUUGCAGAGACUUGGAGCUUCACAAUGUCAAAGGCAAUUGCUGAACUAACUCUUGCCAACAUGAUAGAAGGUAAGAUCUUGCAGAGGGCCACUGGGAAAAAUAAGUGUUCUCUGAAAGCAGGUGUUCUCCUAAUAGUGCAUUUUACAAAUUCCAAGGAAAAAAAAAGCUCCUUCAAAAAGAAAAAGUAUACAUAUUUAAAAUAAAAAUUAAAAACUUGGAUAAUUUUGCAAUUAAUGCGUUGCUAAAACUGACCUGUUUUCUUGCAGCUAGAGAGAUUUUCCUUUUGGACCUUUAGGACAUUCCAGUCACCCUGAUGGAUGUUUUUCUCCCAUCUAUAAAGUUACUGUUAAGAAGAUCAAAAUGAUUGGAUUUUUUGUAGUGCAUUAAGUUAUUUGCCUUUACAUAGAGAGUAUUAUUUUUGUCAAACCGGUCAUGUUCAACACUUAUUUGGUUUUGUGAAACUUGGGAGUCCUAAUCAGGGCCAGAACCUCACUUUCAUGAUCAGAGCAGUCUGGGGACUGGGGCUGGAAUGAUGGUCCUCAUGGUUUCCUUGCAACUCAGGAUAUUCUGUGACUCUGUGAUUAUUCUGUUUAGGUGAUCAACAGUGAGAUAAUUACAUUUCACAUGAAAAAUGACAUGAGGGGUCAUAAUGAAUGCCUGAGGACCUGGAUUGGACAUUUCACACCACAGGUUCAACCAGCUAAGAUUGCUACUGCCCUCUUUUUGAAUAGAGAAACUUAGCAAGAACUGGCUGCCUGUCCUUGGUAGCAGGGUGCUGGGAGGUGCUGGACACAGAGCUGCUGGUGCUUAGCAAUCCAUCUGGCAAAGGAUUUUCUCAUCCAGGUUUGAUCUAGAAAGACAUUUCAGUAUCUGCUGGGAAUUUCAGAGCCUGUCCUUCAACUGGAAAAUGUAACAGUAUUUCAUUACAUGUCUUAUAUAUAUGUGAGUGUGUUUUGUUCUCUGUGUUUUGCUGUUAUAUAAAGACUACACAACGAUUACAAUGAUAAGCACUCCAUGGAGUCCUGUAACAAAAGCAACACACAGGAGAUUCACAUUCACAUCCUUUUGAGCCUAAAAGCUUGUCUCUACUAGAAAGACUUUGUUGCUGUGAGUGUCUCUGUGAGGUUAAAGAUCUGGUCUUCCUGCCUGUGUCUGUAGAGCUGCAUCUAAAUGAAGGCUCUUAUCAGUGUGACUGUGUCAGCAAAGGAUGCAGCUCUUAACUCACAUACUUACUCUAGUAAGGCUCUUCAAGUGUCAGGCAGUUUCUGGAGACAGAAGUAAGAGAAUUGCUCCUUUCAUUAUGAUGGCAUAUUAUCUCGGGGGCCUAAUGCUGGCAUUUUGAGCAUUAACCUCUGCUGUUCUAGGACUGCUGUGCAGAGGCACAGCACCACUGAAUGAUGCAUUCAGACUCUUCUCUCCUGGGCUCAGAAAUCCAGCCAGUGGGAUGUAAUCAACUCGGUUAAGAUUCUCCUUUAUAAACUUGUUUUCUACCUCUUGCUUUGUGUUUCCCUCCCAAAACUGCCUGUUAUGCCAGCCACACCAGACCCUGUUUUGCAUGAGAUACGUGAGGUCCCCAGCUGAUGACUCCAUGACCACAUCCAAUUAUUUGUUAUUAUGUCCUUUCCUUCCAUACCCAAAGAUUUCAUUAUCUUGCAGGAAAGCAUACAAAAGGAAGAGGAUUCAUAUCUCUCUGUAUUCAAGAGGAGAAAUACACGAGCUGUUCGGCAGCUCUCAAGUAUCAGCAACAUAGGGGUGAGAAGCCCUUUGCCCUGGCAGUUGUACUGAUUCAGUUUUUUAUGUGACUGGACUACGUGCCAGACCUGGGAAUAAAGCCACUUAAAAACAACAACAACAAUAACAACACAGUAUGGUGGAGAUGGAAAAAAAAGGAGGGAGAGAGGCUCUAUUUCCCUGAGAUCCAGCACUGCCAUUGUAACCCCACUGCACCAAAACAGCCUUCUGGAGUGAUUGAUGGGGAGAGGAGUCACAGACUCUCAAAGAGGGACUUCUGCAGGCCAAGGAAAGGCACAGUUUCAAGUGCAGCCUGGAAACAAACCUAGACUUGUUACUCUUUGUAACAAAUGCUCUCAUGUUAUGAAAUUAUAUUAUUGCUUAUCUCCUUUGAGGAUAUCCUACUCAUACACAAUUGAGAGAAAAUGAAAGUCCUGUCUCAGUAAUUUGUCCAUUGAUGCCCAAUAAGAAACAGGAGUGAGCAGGUUGUUUCCAUCUUUGUUUAGGCACUUUGCUCCCCAUAAUCUGCCCUUACUUAUUAUCCUGGAUGAAAAACAAAAAAAUAAGAAAAUGAUACCUGAUAACUGUCACCAUUUUGGUGGGACUUUCGUGAUUCUCAGGGGUUCUGAGCUGUGCGCUAGACUUCAGUCUGUGUUUGUUGCCACUGUGAACACAAAAACCAUAAAGGGAUGGAAGAGAAUAGAUUCAGUUCUGCUGUGCAGGAUCUGCCUGUCCACUAGCAGUCCACGUAUCAGAAGAAAUUGAAAUUGCCUGCUCUAAUGCAAUUCUCUGAGCACAGAUUAAGGGAGAUAAAAAUACUCUUUCUGCACUGAGAAUAUGUCUGUUAGAGCAGAAGAACACAGGUAGGAAAGCAAGCUGCCUAGAGAUCUGGUUAUUUCAGUGACAGCAGGGGAGCUGGAUUGAUCUAGCUGCUUCUUAGGUGCAGUCUGGUAUUACGGCUGAGUUUGUCUACAAGCUAGUUGCUGUCCUUGUUUCCCAUUUACACUGCUUUCCUUAAAUUGCAUCUAGUGCUGUGUGGCCACAGGGCAAAAUCUGCUCAUCAGAGCAGCAGAAAACUAACCAUGAAAAUGAAUAGUUUUCAGCCAGAUGGGCCAGCUGAAUCAACUCACCCAGAAUUCACUCCAUCACUGGAUUCAGCUCAAGGGAGAAGGAUGGAGAACACAGCUGGAAGCAGUAAUGGAGUGAGAUCACCACUAUUUGGCAUUAGCUUGCAGCUCUAACUUCAAGGAUGACCUGCCUCUAUCCUCCCUUCCCUGCUCCGAGCAGCACGCUCCUGCCACUUCCAGUGCUUGCUUGACCUCAGGGAACUAGGCCUCUAAGUCAGCAGCAAACUAACCCAGCACCCUAGAAACAGAGUAUUCUGCCUGCUUAAUUAGGUGAAGGAUGGAGGUGGGAUGAGUGUAAGUCCUGGCGCAAGGAUGCUGAUGAGCUUGUGUGGUGUCUGUGACUGGGAGGAGGCCAGGGUGGCUCCUUCUGACAGCAGCCUUUUCACAACAGCUCAUUUUCAAUUCAACCCAAAGAAGGAAAAUAAACAGCAUGAAAAAAAGAGAGCCACAGCUGAGCAAAUGGGAACCAACUGUACAACUCUCCGUUGAAAAGCAUUCACCUCAUCAUUAGGUGAAGAAGGACAGGCUUAAUGCACAGUUUUGAAAGGUGUGUUACCCGUCUGGUUGCUGGAUGGCAGGGAGCGAUGUGAAUAGCACCACUUAGUGCCUGCAUAGCUCUGCUCUCCCCAGAUCACAGGCAGGAGGCUCAGCAAACGGUUUUGAAAAGAAAGCACCUUUCUGCCUAUUAGUCCCUGUGCUAUUGGGUGCCUGGAAGACCCAAAGGCAGAUAUAGCUCUUUUAAAAAUCAAGGCAAAAGGAAAAAAUACAAGAGGGCAGAAGCUGUGUAACAGCAAAGCGUGGAGGAGGAUGCUGCUGUUUUCUGAAAUACCAGCAGAACUCAGGGCAGGGUCAUGCUGGCCCUGCAGGGCCCCUUGGGAACACAUGCUAGUGGGGUUUAGACCCUGAACCAGAGGGCAGUGCCCUUCUGGAGGUGUUUCAAAAGAGCACCAAAAAGUGCUCUGACCUUACGUGAAUGUAAGUCAUUGUUCUGGUUGAUUCAGUUUUUCUGUGGGCAGAUAGCCAACAAUGCAAUCACUAAUUGCACUGAUUUCCAUGUCCUCUCUUCUGUAAAAUCAGUUUAUUAGAGGAGUUGGUUAAAUUCAGGAAGUGCUUAAAUUCCUAACCAUAUCUUGCUUAGCAAGAACUUAUUGAUAACAGUGCUGUACUGCUCUCAGCUCAUGUGCCUGUAAAGAGCAUGAUUGGUUACAGAGCUGUACAGUUGCGGAUGCAAUUGCAUCAGCUAAGAUAUAUUAAACUGGUAUAAUUAUUUUAUUAGCCUGAAUUGUUCUUUUAUGAUCAUCUGUAUCUGUUAUAACUGCAUCCAUCCUAAGGAACAUUUGCUCUCUGUCAGAAUGAGAAUAUAAUGGGAAGAUAGCCUUCCACACGUGUAUUUUUCCUUAUGAGUCUCUCCAGCACUCUGUCAAUAAAGCUGCUUUUCAGCAGUGUUUGCUGACACUGUGAAAAAGGUAUUGCCAGACUCUACAUCUGAUUAACCGUUAUCCCACAGCUCAUGUCAUAAUUUAAAGAAGUCAGCGUGAACGUCACCAUAAAUUACUCUAUAAAUACAAGGCAGCAAGCAGCACAGUGAGCUGUGUUACCUUUGAAGUAAAGACGGGUAUUGUGCACCCUGCCGUGUAGAGGUCCCAGAAGGGAUCCAAUGUGUUGUAAAGGUUGCUGCUGUACUGCAGUCAUUCAGUCGUCCAACAGGA